rnacentral:rRNA from 1 species
CCUACGGGGGGCAGCAGUGGGGAAUCUUGCGCAAUGGGCGGAAGCCUGACGCAGCGACGCCGCGUGCGGGACGAAGGCCUUCGGGUCGUAAACCGCUUUCAGCAGGGACGAGGCCCUCACGGUGACGGUACCUGCAGAAGAAGCCCCGGCUAACUACGUGCCAGCCGCCGCGGUAAUCCGUAGGGGGCGAGCGUUAUCGGGAUUCAUUGGGGGUAAAGCGCGCUUAGGGGGCCUGUUAGGUCGGGGGUCAAAUACGGGGGCUCAACCCCGGGCGGCCCCCGAUACCGGCAGGCUUGAGUGUGGUAGGGGAAGGCGGAAUUCCAGGUGUAGCGGUGGAAUGCGCAGAUAUUGGGAAGAACACCGGCGGCGAAGGCGGCCUUCUGGGCCACGACUGACGCUGAGGCGCGAAAGCUAGGGGAGCGAACAGGAUUAGAUACCCUAGUAGUC